rnacentral:rRNA from 1 species
CGAGCGAACAGACGAGGAGCUUGCUCCUUUGACGUUAGCGGCGGACGGGUGAGUAACACGUGGGUAACCUACCUAUAAGACUGGGAUAACUUCGGGAAACCGGAGCUAAUACCGGAUAAUAUUUCGAACCGCAUGGUUCGAUAGUGAAAGAUGGCUCUGCUAUCACUUAUAGAUGGACCUGCGCCGUAUUAGCUAGUUGGUAAGGUAACGGCUUACCAAGGCAACGAUACGUAGCCGACCUGAGAGGGUGAUCGGCCACACUGGAACUGAGACACGGUCCAGACUCCUACGGGAGGCAGCAGUAGGGAAUCUUCCGCAAUGGGCGAAAGCCUGACGGAGCAACGCCGCGUGAGUGAUGAAGGUCUUCGGAUCGUAAAACUCUGUUAUUAGGGAAGAACAAACGUGUAAGUAACUGUGCACGUCUUGACGGUACCUAAUCAGAAAGCCACGGCUAACUACGUGCCAGCAGCCGCGGUAAUACGUAGGUGGCAAGCGUUAUCCGGAAUUAUUGGGCGUAAAGCGCGCGUAGGCGGUUUUUUAAGUCUGAUGUGAAAGCCCACGGCUCAACCGUGGAGGGUCAUUGGAAACUGGAAAACUUGAGUGCAGAAGAGGAAAGUGGAAUUCCAUGUGUAGCGGUGAAAUGCGCAGAGAUAUGGAGGAACACCAGUGGCGAAGGCGACUUUCUGGUCUGUAACUGACGCUGAUGUGCG